rnacentral:rRNA from 1 species
UACGUAGGGGGCAAGCGUUGUCCGGAAUCAUUGGGCGUAAAGAGCGUGUAGGCGGCCCGAUAAGUCCGCUGUGAAAGUCCAGGGCUCAACCCUGGAAUGCCGGUGGAUACUGUCGGGCUCGAAUCCGGAAGAGGUGAGUGGAAUUCCUGGUGUAGCGGUGAAAUGCGCAGAUAUCGGGAGGAACACCGGUGGCGAAGGCGGCAUCCUGGACCAACACUGACACUGAGGAGCGAAAGCCAGGGGAGCAAACGGG